rnacentral:rRNA from 1 species
GUUCGCCCAUUAAAGUGGUACGCGAGCUGGGUUCAGAACGUCGUGAGACAGUUCGGUCCCUAUCCGUCGCAGGCGUAGGAAAUUUGAGAAGACCUGUCCUUAGUACGAGAGGACCGGGAUGGACGUACCUCUGGGGUACCAGUUGUCCUGCCAAGGGCAUGGCUGGGUAGCUAUGUACGGAAUGGAUAAGCGCUGAAAGCAUCUAAGCGCGAAGCCAACUUCAAGAUAAGAUUUCCCACCGCAAGGGUAAGACCCCAGAAAG